GCCGGUAAGUGAGAGCGCGGCAGUGAGACUGUGGGGGAUAAGCUCCAUGGUCGAGAGGGAAACAGCCCAGAGCAUCGACUAAGGCCCCCAAGCGUACGCUAAGUGGGAAAGGAUGUGGAGUCGCACAGACAACCAGGAGGUUGGCUUAGAAGCAGCCAUCCUUGAAAGAGUGCGUAAUAGCUCACUGGUCUAGUGAUUCCGCGCCGACAAUGUAGCGGGGCUCAAGCGUACCGCCGAAGUCGUGUCAUUGCGAUAUGUACCCCCAACGGGGAUCGUGAUGGGUAGGGGAGCGUCGUGUGCCGGGUGAAGCAGCCGCGGAAGCGAGUUGUGGACGGUUCACGAGUGAGAAUGCAGGCAUGAGUAGCGAUACACACGUGAGAAACGUGUGCGCCGAUUGACUAAGGGUUCCUGGGUCAAGCUGAUCUGCCCAGGGUAAGUCGGGACCUAAGGCGAGGCCGACAGGCGUAGUCGAUGGAUAACCGGUUGAUAUUCCGGUACCCGCUGUGAAGCGUCAAACAUCGAGCA
rnacentral:ncRNA from 1 species